GACGAACGCUGGCGGCGUGCUUAACACAUGCAAGUCGAACGGAAAGGCCCUGCUUUUGUGGGGUGCUCGAGUGGCGAACGGGUGAGUAACACGUGAGUAACCUGCCCUUGACUUUGGGAUAACUUCAGGAAACUGGGGCUAAUACCGGAUAGGAGCUCCUGCUGCAUGGUGGGGGUUGGAAAGUUUCGGCGGUUGGGGAUGGACUCGCGGCUUAUCAGCUUGUUGGUGGGGUAGUGGCUUACCAAGGCUUUGACGGGUAGCCGGCCUGAGAGGGUGACCGGCCACAUUGGGACUGAGAUACGGCUCAGACUCCUACGGGAGGCAGCAGUGGGGAAUAUUGCACAAUGGGCGGAAGCCUGAUGCAGCGACGCCGCGUGCGGGAUGACGGCCUUCGGGUUGUAAACCGCUUUCGCCUGUGACGAAGCGUGAGUGACGGUAAUGGGUAAAGAAGCACCGGCUAACUACGUG
rnacentral:rRNA from 1 species